GUCGAGCGCCCCGCAAGGGGAGCGGCAGACGGGUGAGUAACGCGUGGGAAUCUACCUUUUGCUACGGAAUAACUCAGGGAAACUUGUGCUAAUACCGUAUGUGCCCUUCGGGGGAAAGAUUUAUCGGCAAAGGAUGAGCCCGCGUUGGAUUAGCUAGUUGGUGAGGUAAAGGCUCACCAAGGCGACGAUCCAUAGCUGGUCUGAGAGGAUGAUCAGCCACACUGGGACUGAGACACGGCCCAGACUCC
rnacentral:rRNA from 1 species